CUACGGGGUGCUGCAGUGAGGAAUUUUGCGCAAUGGGGGAAACCCUGACGCAGCAACGCCGCGUGAGUGAUGAAGGCUUUCGGGUCGUAAAGCUCUGUCAAGUGGGAAGAACCUGAAAAAUGCCAAUACCAUUUUUUACUGACGGUACCACUGAAGGAAGCACCGGCUAACUCCGUGCCAGCAGCCGCGGUAAUACGGGGGGUGCCAGCGUUAUUCGGAAUCAUUGGGCGUAAAGGGCGCGUAGGCGGCUUUUUAAGUCAGAUGUGAAAUCCCGGGGCUUAACCCCGGAAGUGCAUUUGAAACUAAAAGGCUUGAGUAUGGGAGAGGGAAGUGGAAUUCCUGGUGUAGAGGUGAAAUUCGUAGAUAUCAGGAGGAACACCGGUGGCGAAGGCGGCUUCCUGGACCAAUACUGACGCUGAGGCGCGAAGGCGUGGGGAGCAAACAGGAUUAGAUACCCCCGUAGUC
rnacentral:rRNA from 1 species